UACGUAGGGCGCAAGCGUUAUCCGGAAUUAUUGGGCGUAAAGAGCUCGUAGGCGGUUUGUCGCGUCUGCCGUGAAAGUCCGGGGCUCAACUCCGGAUCUGCGGUGGGUACGGGCAGACUAGAGUGAUGUAGGGGAGACUGGAAUUCCUGGUGUAGCGGUGAAAUGCGCAGAUAUCAGGAGGAACACCGAUGGCGAAGGCAGGUCUCUGGGCCUUACCUGACGCUGAGGAGCGAAAGCGUGGGGAGCGAACAGG
rnacentral:rRNA from 1 species